CACAUUUUUUUUUUUUAAGGGACCAAGAAGCUGCCAGACAUUUGGUUCUCCCAGCAGCAACCCAAUGCAAACCAAAAAUGAGGGAAAUGCCCAAAAUGGGGGGAUCAUACUGUCCCAAGAUCUGAGUAGGAUGUACUUCUGAAGGAUGUACAAUGUUCAAUCCUAAGUAUGACAAGCAGAAAGCUUAUGUACUUGGUGAAAGUAGCAUGUUUGUCCCCAAGAGGCAUUUCAUCUUGAAGACACGUGGUGCCACCCCCUGACUGAAAGCAUUGGCUCCCCUGUUGAAGCUUGCUAGGGAUUACAG
rnacentral:lncRNA from 10 species